rnacentral:misc_RNA from 1 species
AUUCAGCAAUAUCAGUAUCAGAAUUCCCCAUAACCUCCUGACAAGACCUCUCUAUUGUCUUGCAUUCAGAAUUGCAUUGACCUUCGGCUUCUUGUUCUAGCAGCUCUAACUUAUCCCCUUGCUCCACUAUGUCAAUCUUCAUUAUCCAAUCAGCUUCCUCCUUCUUCAAGUUACAAAUGUUCUCUGCCAUCUCAAUGAUUUGAUAUUCUGAGAUCUUCUUGGGUAAGAUCUCAGCCUUCUUUUUUUCUACUAGCUGGUACAACUCCUUUGCCACCUUUUCACAUACUUGGGAUUUGAUGUAUGGUAUGUCCUCUUUUCUUGCACCAAAAACAGGUUUCUUUGCACAGAGAGAGACUGGCACACAUGUUGACACUAGCAAUACAGUCACUAAAACUACCAGUAUUUGCUUGAUAUUAGCCAUGGCUGUCUCCCUAGCUGCCAAAUCACAGGUUUUAGUUUUCUUUAAAUUUUCUUUUCUUUUUCUAAAAUAAUUUUUUCAAUUUGUUUCUUUUUCAUCAUUUUUAUAAAAGAAAACAUAAAAUGCAUUUAAAAAUUGAAAUUUAAACCUUAAAAAUUCUGAAUAAAUUUCAACAGACAUUUUCCAUAUUUUCAACACAACAAGAGAAGCAAAGAGCAUCACACAAUCAUUAAUUGCUCAACCUGAGCCUGCGCUUGUUCUCUUAUCUGCCUUUUACCAGUCCAAUUCUCCAAAGUAAGAGUAAUCAUUUCCUGUCUAAUAUAUACUCCAUCGUCAAGGUUUCCAUUCUCAUUUUAACCAUUUAAAGAUCAAGCAAAGAAGAUGUGUAUAUUUUUAAAACACAACAAUAAGAUCACAAAUAAGUAUUUCUUAUUUUUUUAAUUAUAAACCCCAUAAUAAUGUAUCCACUACUUGAAGACUCGACAAAGGAAAUCAUGUAAUACCUCCUAAAGUUGCAAAUGAGCUUUCUCAUAUACCUUUAAUUUAAUAAAACUGCAUUCGCUACUAAAGAAAUCCAGCAGAAAAGAAUUAAAUAUUCAAAUAUUUCUUAAGUUUGAAACAUCCAUUCAGAGACUUUUUCACCCAGUAGCAUUAGCAUUCAAUUCAUACUGAUUUGUCUCAUCACUAAAAGCAUUCAAAUGGCAAUAUAAACUAAAAUUCAACAAUCAGCAUAAAUCAAAAACUAAACAAUACAUCAAAAUCAAACCAUCUGAAAGAACAACUCUCAAUCCAAAUCAAGAUUCAACAAUUGGGAAUUGUGAAUAACCAACAUUGUUGGGAAAUCCCACAUUGAAAAUAUACAUAGUGACACGACACAAUAUAAAUGAUUGAGUUGUAACAUUGAAUUGAUUAGUCAUUUUGACGUAUACGAAGCUCAUCACUUAAAUAUGUCUGCAUUAAAAAUGAAUUAAUAUGUAAAAUACCCAGCACUCUCUUCAAAUAUAACAUUAUAUCAGAGCCCACAUUGGAUUAAUGCUAAUUGUCAAGUGACAAAUAUGUGGUUGCACUUGAGGGGAGAGUGUUGGAAAAUCCCAAAUUGAAAACAUACAUUUACAUAGUGAAAGAGAACUAAUAAGUAAAAUGUCUAACACUCUCUCCGACUUGACAAACAUCAUAUCAUCAGAAUUUAAACGUCUGUAUUAAAAAUGAAUUAAUAUGUAACCCUUCGAAUUUAUCAAACAUCACAUCAUCAGAAUUUAACAAGUGUUCACAGGUUAAUGAUACAUGAUCCAUAUUCUAACUUUAAAUAGAACAACUUCCCCUCUUAUAAAAAUAAUUUGAAACUCAUUUCAGAGGAUUUUCAUGCCAAAGUCCAUAAGCAUUCCUCAUCCAACCCACCAAAACGCUAUCACUGAAUCCAGAAUUCAGACCUGAGAUAGUUAUUUCAGUUUACUAAUAAAAGAAUAGUACAAACAAGGAUUCCAAGCUGCAAUCUGAUUUCUGCGGUUCUCGAAGUAUCUCCAAACGCGACUCAAGUCUGAAUCGGGACGAAGCAGGGCAAUAUGAGGUUGCUGGACGAUUUGUGAGAGGCAAAGGAUGUUCACUAGGUCUAGUUUGAAUCAGAAUAGUCCCGGAAAUAUGGCUGAUCACCUCCUUCUUUCAGCUGAACGGAAAGGAAGUCGUAUAAAGCCUCCUGUGGCUGAGCUAUUUGUGGCCGGAAAUUUAUUUCUUGCAGCUGAUCUGAGAAGGGUUGCAAUGAAGAGCUUCGCGACGGUAGGGAAUAAGUUUCUGGGUAUGUCCAACGGCGGUGAUUAGCUAGGCCGGCUUGUUGUUAUCUUCCUACUCCCUUGCUCCAGUCCCUCCAAAUUGAGAAAGAAACAGUUCUCUCGGACGCUAAAUAAGCUGGAAGAAGGAAGAUAAUGAAAGAGGGGGUAAUGAGGUUACUGGGUCACCGGAAAUGGGGUGUUUAGGUCGGAAAUCAGGGGAUCUUGGCCUUGGGGUUGGCCGGAGUUGGGUCCUCUGCCUUGGCUGUUUCUGC